rnacentral:tRNA from 1 species
AGUCGCGUAGCUCAGUUGGUUAGAGCACCACCUUGACAUGGUGGGGGUCGGUGAUUCGAGUUCACUCGCGACUACCA